UAAAAGGCUCUUUUAAGAGCUACCCAAUCCAUCUUGAAGAGAUUUU
rfam:Gasterosteus aculeatus cont1.001740, whole genome shotgun sequence.